rnacentral:rRNA from 1 species
AUUGAACGCUGGCGGCAGGCUUAACACAUGCAAGUCGAGCGGAGCGAGGGUGCUUGCACCUUAGCUUAGCGGCGGACGGGUGAGUAAUGCUUAGGAAUCUGCCUAUUAGUGGGGGACAACAUUCCGAAAGGAAUGCUAAUACCGCAUACGCCCUACGGGGGAAAGCAGGGGAUCUUCGGACCUUGCGCUAAUAGAUGAGCCUAAGUCGGAUUAGCUAGUUGGUGGGGUAAAGGCCUACCAAGGCGACGACCUGUAGCGGGUCUGAGAGGAUGAUCCGCCACACUGGGACUGAGACACGGCCCAGACUACGACGGGAGGCAGCAGUGGGGAAUAUCGGACAAUGGGCGGAAGCCUUGUCCAGCCAUGCCGCGUGUGUGAAGAAGGCCUUUUGGUUGUAAAGCACUUUAAGCGAGGAGGAGGCUACUUAGAUUAAUACUCUAGGAUAGUGGACGUUACUCGCAGAAUAAGCACCGGCUAACUCUGUGCCAGCAGCCGCAGUAA